CAAUGAGAUCACCACUAAUAAAUAAUAAAAUAUCCCAAAUCGAAAAAACCAUCCCAAAAUAUAAAAAAAUAAUUAAAUUCUAAUCAAUCUUCAAGAAAAACAAUUAAAAUUCCAGUCACAAAACCAAGUUACCUAAAAAAACUUCCAAAGAUUAAUUUAAGUAUUCCAACAGCAGGCCUUGUUGUAAAACUUCUAGCAGCAAUCCAAUUUUCCAAGAGCACUCUAAUUUCAGCCACAUACCCAACAACACUCCAACUACUAGACCAACUCAUAUGCAGCAACCUAGCAUCUUCCAGCUGUACUAUAAUUCCAACCAUAUACACAAGAGAAAAAAAGGAAAAAAAAGAUAACAUUAAAAAAGAAGAAGCAUAUAACAUUGGACAGAGUUGGGUUGGGUCAAAUUUCAUGUCAUUGCUAUAUAAAUGUUUAUAUGUACGUAUAUUCUUCUGCACUUCUCUUAGUCUUUUAUAUACUCUUGAUGGGAGUGAAUGUUCGUUUAUUCUUUUUUUAAAUGAAUGCGUAAAA
rnacentral:lncRNA from 1 species